UACGUAGGGUGCAAGCGUUGUCCGGAAUUAUUGGGCGUAAAGCGCGCGCAGGCGGUUUCUUAAGUCUGAUGUGAAAGCCCACGGCUCAACCGUGGAGGGUCAUUGGAAACUGGGGGACUUGAGUACAGAAGAGAAGAGUGGAAUUCCACGUGUAGCGGUGAAAUGCGUAGAGAUGUGGAGGAACACCAGUGGCGAAGGCGACUUUCUGGCCUAUAACUGACGCUGAGGCGCGAAAGCGUGGGGAGCAAACAGG
rnacentral:rRNA from 1 species